UCCGAAUUCUUCGCAUUCAAACGCAGUCGGUGCACAGGAGGAGAACGAAUCCAAAUGGUUGUGUUCUAUUGUUCCAUUUUCCACCAAAAAAUUCCGGUUCUUUCAGGAUUUUUACGCUUGAUGGGAUCACGUCUUCCCUGUCAACGGCAUCUAUGAAUGACUCUAUGCUUCUAUUUUAGUCUGGCGCCGCUCUGAAUGGGUACGCGUCUUCUCCACCAAAUGAGGCAACCACACUCUCGCCUCCAACAAAUUCGCUAACGUGAAAUGAUGAGUAACAGUCUCCAAAGCCCACAUAUGAUGAUGCCGCGGUGGCUCAAGUCCCCAGUCGCACUUCUCUGGCAAAGUCGUGAUCUUUCAGGUUCGACUUACUCAUCCAUUCUGAAUGGUAAGUUUGUGGGGAAAACACACACUGGCCGUUUCCAUGAUUCGAGCCACAUUUGGUCAUCAUCGACAGCGCUCUGCUUAGCCAACGUCUAUCGACACUCAAGUAUUGCACCGUUUUACCGACGUACACGGAAAGCCCUCAUGACGUGACCGCAAUGCCCGGCGUGAGCGUGGGGAAUGGAGAAGGAAGAAGGAAGUGCAAUCUACACCGGCUGUGGUUAUCAAGCUGUGCACUGUCCAUGCUACCAACAGCUGCGAAACCGAAUUUGUUCAUGUUUCUUUUUUUUUAAUAUAAGAGUUGGACUAAAUGUAAAGCAUUAAGAAAUAAUAGAUUGAAAUCGGC